AUGAAUAUUAGCUAGUGUUACUGCUCCAUUAUUGUGGCAAAUGUUAACUCCAUCCCCCACCCACAGCCGGGUCUUGGUAGGGAGAGGGUGAAAUGAUGGACUAGGAGAGAUUUGGGUUCCUUGGACAGAUCUUGCCUUUUCCAGCAAGGUUGGGUUACAUGCCCUCUCUCUCUCAGCUCCUGGAAUUCCCCCUUGGCUUGCUACUGUUCUGAGAUGAAGUAAACUGGGUGAUUCUAAGAAUGGGCCUUGAGUCUGGCAAACCCAUCUGUUUCUUCCUAGCUAUGGGCCCCUGGCCCUCACCUCCCGCUUCUCAGUUUCUUCACCUGGAAAAUGAAGAUGACUAAGGAACCUGGGCCUUGGAAGGUUCUGGGAAUUCAGUGGAGUCAGAUUUAAAUAGAUUUUACUGCGACAGGGGAGACCCCACCAAGCAGGGCCAAUAUAUGUGGUCCCAGGAGGUCAAGAAAUGGUGACUUUCCGUAUCCACUCCCGUCUUUCACUGCACGAAGCCCUCGGAAGAUUAUUCUAUAGCAGUACGAUGACAGCAUCCUCCUUCUAGGAACUACAUCGUCUUCCGUCUCUGGAUGUGCCAUCUUUUACUCAGCUAGUCUACAUCUCAGGCACGUUCUUCAUUUGUGUAUUAUCUACGGCCCAGUUCUUGCUGCAGCAGCGGAAUCGAGAAGCUGCGGGAGAGACCCCGCAGCCUGCAAAGCUGAAAAUAUUUACUUCCUGGCCAUUCACAGAAAAUGUUUGCCAACCCAUGACCUAAAGCAUCAUCUCUCAGAGGGUUGGGAAGGAACCUGGAAGCUGUCCCAUUCAGAGGCGGGAGCUUCAACGGGACCCUGCGUCUUCUGCCUCCAAGGCCUGUGGUAGGGGCUGUCACAGGCUGCAGAGGAGUCCAGGAGGGAGAUGCUACAGAAAUUAUCUUGCCUGUGCAUGGUGCGAGGGUCUGGAACAUACAUUUAACCAAGGCAAGGAGCGAAGUGAGAGGAAGCAAUAUUGUGGAUUGCAGGAGGUGAUGGAUGAGAUGAGAGAAGAAUCUGCAUGGUCAGAAUCUGUUUGGCAUCGGAAGGGAAGUACCCAGGAAAUUUGAGGAUCGCCUCGUCCAGUUGUCUGUGGAACUGAACUGUGAGUUGUCCAUGAGGGAUGAAUGGCAAUGCCAAUGUUUCCAGAGUUUCUGUCAUGAGGUCUCCUGGCUUGGAGAUGGAGAGGGCACACACAGGUUUCGGAUUCAAGCCUGCAGGACAGUCCUGGCUGCACCACUCAGGAACCCUGGGUGAGUCUCUUUACCCCUCACAGCCUCAGUUUUCCCUUCCUGGAAAUGGGACCACAAUCCAAACCUUGUAGAACUGCUUCAAAGAUGAAAGGAGACAUCGCAUGUGAGAUGCCGGCCCAUAGGAGCCAGGGCACGAAAGGCAGCUCCGCAUUGGGUCCCCAAAAAGUCUCCGCAGGUUGGCAGCCAAGAGAGCUACCAUUUCUUUGUUUGGAGAGAUUCCACUCCCUGGAAAGGGUAAUCCUGCAGGAAAGGAGGAGGGAGUCGUUCCAGAGUUUGGGAGAUGUCGGCUUUGACUCUGAGUGAUGCCGCCUCAAACACUUACUGUCAUACAGGAAGUUACUCAAACACAAUCAAUUAGACACCCAUAUUAGCAUAUUUGUCAUUGUAAUACAGCCGCAGAGAGGAGAUGCUGGAGACUGUUUAUUGCUGUUCUGAGCUAAUAUUUAUUAAAGUGAUUAAUAUGUUUUUCAAAUAUCUGUGACAGGCGUGGCAGGAAUUACUGAUCUCCUCCCUCGAGAGCCUGAAAGGGUGAGGGGUGGGAGUCACUUAGAGAGGGGCGGCAGGUAGGGGCCUUGGGGCCUCAGGGGACCGUGUCCUCCUCUGGGGCCCCUUUCCUGCUCGGGCCUCCUGCCUUCCAUCUUCCCCUGUCUCCUCCACCUUCAACUUCCCCUGUCUCCUCUCCUCCACCUUCAACUUCCCCCUCUACUGACCGUUCCCAUCGGCAUUCUGAGACAUCUCCCACCAUGACAAAUAGAGACCUCCCAGGAUGCCCUGUCCCCCUGCUCCUUCCUGGACCCCCUCAUCCCCAGCCAUUCUGCCAUCUUCCUCCUUCCCUCCAUAGCCAAACUCUUCAAAAGAACUCUUUUCCCUCCCUACCUCCUUUGCUCAUCUUCCAGUCUCUGCUUUUUAAAAAUCAUUACAAAAAAUUAAAAGUGGCUGGGCGCGGUGGCUCACACCUGUAAUCCCAGUACUUUUGGAGGCCAAGGCGGGAGGGAAUAACCUGAGGUCAGGAGUUCGAGACCAGCCUGGCCAACAUGGUGAAACCCUGUCUCUAUUAAAAAUACAAAAAUUAGCAGGGUGUGGUAGCUGGUGCCUGUAAUCCCAGCUACUCAGGAGGC
rnacentral:lncRNA from 1 species